GACAGCAGUCGCCGCGGUAAUACAGAGGGUGCGAGCGUUAAUCGGAUUUACUGGGAGUAAAGCGUGCGUAGGCGGCUUCUUAAGUCGGAUGUGAAAUCCCUGAGCUUAACUUAGGAAUUGCAUUCGAUACUGGGAAGCUAGAGUAUGGGAGAGGAUGGUAGAAUUCCAGGUGUAGCGGUGAAAUGCGUAGAGAUCUGGAGGAAUACCGAUGGCGAAGGCAGCCAUCUGGCCUAAUACUGACGCUGAGGUACGAAAGCAUGGGGAGCAAACAGGAUUAGAUACCCCGGUAGUCCCUGUCUCUUAUAC
rnacentral:rRNA from 1 species